rnacentral:rRNA from 2 species
GAUGUCUGAUUAGCUAGUUGGUGAGGUAAAGGCUUACCAAGGCUACGAUCAGUAGCUGGUCUGAGAGGACGACCAGCCACACUGGGACUGAGACACGGCCCAGACUCCUACGGGAGGCAGCAGUGGGGAAUUUUGGACAAUGGGGGAAACCCUGAUCCAGCCAUGCCGCGUGAGUGAAGAAGGCCUUCGGGUUGUAAAGCUCUUUCAGCCGGAACGAAACGGUCACGGUUAAUACCYGUGACUACUGACGGUACCGGAAGAAGAAGCACCGGCUAACUACGUGCCAGCAGCCGCGGUAAUACGUAGGGUGCGAGCGUUAAUCGGAAUUACUGGGCGUAAAGCGUGCGCAGGCGGUUUUGUAAGUCAGAUGUGAAAUCCCCGGGCUUAACCUGGGAACU